rnacentral:rRNA from 1 species
AACGAACGUUGGCGGCGUGGAUUAGGCAUGCAAGUCGUACGAGGUUCCUCUGGGUAACUGGAUGAAAAAAGUGGCGAAAGGGGCAGUAAGGCAUGGAUAAUCUACCCUGAUGACCGGGAUAGCUGUCCCAACGGGCAGGUAAUACCGGAUGAGCUGGUGGGGCCGCGGGGGUCUGCCAGGAAAGGCGCAAGCGGGGUCGGGAGGAGUCCAUGGGCUAUUAGCUAGUUGGUGAGGUAAAGGCUCACCAAGGCGAAGAUGUCUAGCGGGUGUGAGAGGACGACCCGGCCACUUGGCGCUGGGACACUGGCCAGGCUCCUACGGGGGGCCGGAGGUGAGGAACUUUGGAAAUGGGGGGAAGCCUGACCGAACGACGCCGCGUGGGGGAGGAAGGCCCUUAGGUUGGAAAGCCCUGUCGAGGGGGAACAAGCCGCAAGGUUGGGUGAUCCCUGGAGGAAGCACGGGCUAAGUUCGU